rnacentral:tRNA from 2 species
ACUUGAAUAGCUUAUAUUAGAGCGCGACAUUGAAGAUGUUGAUGAGGUUGUUUUCUACCUUUAAGUA